rnacentral:rRNA from 1 species
AUUGAACGCUGGCGGCAGGCCUAACACAUGCAAGUCGAGCGGCAGCGGAAAGUAGCUUGCUACUUUGCCGGCGAGCGGCGGACGGGUGAGUAAUGUCUGGGAAACUGCCUGAUGGAGGGGGAUAACUACUGGAAACGGUAGCUAAUACCGCAUAACGUCGCAAGACCAAAGAGGGGGACCUUCGGGCCUCUUGCCAUCAGAUGUGCCCAGAUGGGAUUAGCUAGUAGGUGGGGUAACGGCUCACCUAGGCGACGAUCCCUAGCUGGUCUGAGGGGAUGGCCAGCCACACUGGAACUGAGACACGGUCCAGACUCCUACGGGAGGCAGCAGUGGGGAAUAUUGCACAAUGGGCGCAAGCCUGAUGCAGCCAUGCCGCGUGUAUGAAGAAGGCCUUCGGGUUGUAAAGUACUUUCAGCGGGGAGGAAGGUGUUGAGGUUAAUAACCUCAGCAAUUGACGUUACCCGCAGAAGAAGCACCGGCUAACUCCGUGCCAGCAGCCGCCGUAAUAC